rnacentral:rRNA from 1 species
CAGUAGCCACGGUAAUACAGAGGAUGGAAGCGUUAUCCGGAAUUAUUGGGCGUAAAGGGCUCGCAGGCGGUUUCUUAAGUCUGAUGUGAAAGCCCCCGGCUCAACCGGGGAGGGUCAUUGGAAACUGGGAAACUUGAGUGCAGGAGGGGAGAGUGGAAUUCCACGUGUAGCGGUGAAAUGCGUAGAUAUUGGGAAGAACACCAGUGGCGAAGGCGGCUCACUGGACCGACACUGACGCUGAGGCGCGAAAGCGUGGGGAGCAAACAGGAUUAGAUACCCCAGUAGUCCCUGUCUCUUAUAC